rnacentral:tRNA from 1 species
GGGUUGAUAGCUCAGCGGUAGAGCAUUCGGCUUUUAACCGAUUGGUCGAGGGUUCGAUCCCCUCUCAACCCA